UACAGAGGUCUCGAGCGUUGUUCGGAUUCAUUGGGCGUAAAGGGCGCGUAGGCGGCGGGGUAAGUCUGGUGUGAAAUCUAGGAGCUCAACUCCUAAACUGCACUGGAUACUGCUCUGCUAGAGGACUGGAGAGGAGACUGGAAUUUACGGUGUAGCGGUGAAAUGCGUAGAUAUCGUAAGGAAGACCAGUGGCGAAGGCGGGUCUCUGGACAGUUCCUGACGCUGAGGCACGAAGGUCAGGGGAGCAAACGGG
rnacentral:rRNA from 1 species